rnacentral:rRNA from 1 species
CCUGGGGCUGAAGUCGGUCCCAAGGGUUGGGCUGUUCGCCCAUUAAAGCGGUACGCGAGCUGGGUUCAGAACGUCGUGAGACAGUUCGGUCCCUAUCCGUCGCGGGCGUUGGAAAUUUGAGAGGAGCUGUCCUUAGUACGAGAGGACCGGGAUGGACACACCGCUGGUGUACCAGUUGUUCUGCCAAGAGCAUCGCUGGGUAGCUAUGUGUGGACGGGAUAAACGCUGAAAGCAUCUAAGCGUGAAGCCCCCCUCGAGAUGAGAUUUCCCAUCAUUUUAAAUGAGUAAGACCCCUGAGAGACGAUCAGGUAGAUAGGCUAGAAGUGGAAGUGCCGUGAGGCAUGGAGCGGACUAGUACUAAUCGGUCGAGGACUUAACCAAG